rnacentral:rRNA from 1 species
GACGAACGCUGGCGGCGUGCUUAACACAUGCAAGUCGAACGGAAAGGCCCUGCUUGCAGGAUACUCGAGUGGCGAACGGGUGAGUAACACGUGGGUGAUCUGCCCUGCACUUCGGGAUAAGCCUGGGAAACUGGGUCUAAUACCGGAUAGGAGCCAUUUUUAGUGUGAUGGUUGGAAAGUUUUUUCGGUGUAGGAUGAGCUCGCGGCCUAUCAGCUUGUUGGUGGGGUAAUGGCCUACCAAGGCGGCGACGGGUAGCCGGCCUGAGAGGGUGGACGGCCACAUUGGGACUGGGAUACGGCCAGGACUCCUACGGGGGGCAGCAGGGGGGAAUAUUGCACAAUGGGCGCAAGCCUGAGGAAGCGACGCCGCGUGGGGGAUGACGGCCUUCGGGUUGUAAACUCCUUUCGCUAGGGACGAAGCUUUUUGUGACGGUACCUAGAUAAGAAGCCCCGGCUAACUACGG